rnacentral:rRNA from 1 species
AUUGAACGCUGGCGGCAGGCCUAACACAUGCAAGUCGAGCGGAUGAGAGGAGCUUGCUUCUCGAUUCAGCGGCGGACGGGUGAGUAAUGCCUAGGAAUCUGCCUGGUAGUGGGGGACAACGUUUCGAAAGGAACGCUAAUACCGCAUACGUCCUACGGGAGAAAGCAGGGGACCUUCGGGCCUUGCGCUAUCAGAUGAGCCUAGGUCGGAUUAGCUAGUUGGUGAGGUAAUGGCUCACCAAGGCGACGAUCCGUAACUGGUCUGAGAGGAUGACCAGUCACACUGGAACUGAGACACGGUCCAGACUCCUACGGGAGGCAGCAGUGGGAAAUAUUGGACAAUGGGCGAAAGCCUGAUCCAGCCAUGCCGCGUGUGUGAAGAAGGUCUUCGGAUUGUAAAGCACUUUAAGUUGGGAGGAAGGGUUGUAGAUUAAUACUCUGCAAUUUUGACGUUACCGACAGAAUAAGCACCGGCUAACUCUGUGCCAGCAGCCGCCGUAAAAC